rnacentral:rRNA from 1 species
GACCAGACUCCUACGGGAGGCAGCAGUGGGGAAUAUUGGACAAUGGGGGGAACCCUGAUCCAGCGACGCCGCGUGAGUGAAGAAGUAUUUCGGUAUGUAAAGCUCUAUCAGCAGGGAAGAAGAUGACGGUACCUGACUAAGAAGCCCCGGCUAACUACGUGCCAGCAGCCGCGGUAAUACGUAGGGGGCAAGCGUUAUCCGGAUUUACUGGGUGUAAAGGGAGCGUAGACGGCGAUGCAAGCCAGAUGUGAAAGCCCGGGGCUCAACCCCGGGACUGCAUUUGGAACUGUGUGGCUGGAGUGUCGGAGAGGCAGGCGGAAUUCCUAGUGUAGCGGUGAAAUGCGUAGAUAUCAGGAGGAACACCGGCGGCGAAGGCGGCCUGCUGGACCGCGACUGACGUUGAGGCUCGAAAGCGUGGGGAGCAAACAGGAUUAGAUACCCUAGUAU